ACAAAAAGAGUUGUCCAACUUUCUCUUCGUUUUUUUCCCCCCAAUUCCAAAAGAAAAACCCUUAUGCGGCAAAAUUCUCAAAUCCACAUCCAGAAAUCUUCCAUCUUCGAAGAGAAUUUGCUCUCCAAUCCAAACGUCCGCGAUUUGGCGCUACCGCCGAUGAGAAGCUGUGAUUUUGCAUUGUCGAUUUUCACUUUAAAUGGUUUAGUUUAUCUCCUUUGUGAAAGAUCUCUGUCGCAAUGUCGACGAUUUUGGCGUUCUGAACUUGCUCCCCCGCUCAGCUCGCCACUUCCUCAACCAUGGGUUUGAUUUGCUAGACAAGUGUGGAGCUAGCAGGAGCGUAUUUUUCUACAACCUAAUCAGAAUUCUAUAUUCUACAAUUCUCAUGCGAGCUGGAUUAUGAGUUACCAACAAGAGAAGAUUGUCAGGUAUAGAUGACUGGCAAGAGUUGGAAUGUCCUUAUUGUGGAGUGGUUGCAAUAAUACACAUCACUUUUAAAUAUGUUAUUAUUGUUAUGGAAAUAUGACUAGUCUUUAUUAGCAGCGCAACCUUUUUGGUAAUGGAAGAUUAUGUGCACUUAAUAUAUCUAUGCAUAAAUCUGAUAAAAUUUCUAAUCUCAUGUUGCUUCAUUUAUAAUAUUGCGUAUCUAUGCCAGUGACAUUGAAUCGGAAUGGAUAGCGGAGGAUGAGCUUGGUGUAUACAUCACCAUCAGACAGCUUCUUGAUGGCACUAGAGAGCUUCGGCAUGUCAAAUUCAGCCGUGAAAAAUUUGGAGAGGUGCAUGCCAAGCAUUGGUGGGAAACUAACAGGGACAGGAUACAAACUCAGUAUCUUUGCUAUAUUACGGAUCAUUUUAAAUCAUAUCUCCUAACCAUGAUUAUCUGUAGUUUAUUAUUUAUAUGUUUAAAGAUGGUUUACUUUGGUGAAUACACAAUGAGUAAUGUAGUCAGACCUACUUCAUGCCUUAGAUAAUGAUUUUAGAGAAUGUAUAUGUAUCAUGACUGAUAUUAUUUUAAUUUUUGUGCAGCACACUCGGUCAGGGGGCAGUAAGCAUCUCAGGGAAGUCUUGUUUUCUAUAGCAGUAGCCAUUUUGGGACUCCGCUUAUUUGCUCUGCUCAUUGGUAAUAUGCAAGGUUCCUCUUGUUGAUAAGUUUUAGGUUCUUCUUGGAAAUUUUA